rnacentral:pre_miRNA from 1 species
UAUGUACUCCCUCCAUUCCAAAUUACUCGUCGUAGAAAUGGAUGUAUCUAGAACUAAAAUACAUCUAGAUACAUCCAUACCUGCGACAAGUAAUUCAGAACGGAGGGAGUAUUAU